GCUCUUAUUGGUGCCAAGCACUACUUUACAAACUGUAUAUUGAAUUCUUAAUGUUCACAAAAACUCUAUAAAAUAAGAGUUAUGAUUGCCUUCAUUUGACAGAAACUGAGGCUCACAGAGACUAGAACACCAUCACAGAGCCACCAUUCGAGUUGAGAGGAGGGUAAGUCCUCCAGGCCACCCCACACAUCAGCUCUGCAGACCUCUCUGAGCCUCAGCCCCUCAUCCGGACAGCGGUGCUCAUGACAGCAGCUGAACAGGGGUGCUGUGAGGAUUCAGUGAGAUUAGGUGAUGGAUGAGAAUGUGUUUUGGAAAGUCUCUAUUAUCAUUAUUUUACCCAUCUGUCCUAGAGAAGAGAGAUUGCUCUUUCACCGGCUGAUAGAGUGUCACCCACACGAGCUGGCAGAAGUGCUCUCUGCCAAAGGGCAUGCUGGAUGGAGUGGCAGUGCAGCCUCAGACUCUCUCGCUGGCAUGAGCGAUGGUUCUACAGGCAGAUGGUGCUGGGAAUGAAUUGCUGAGAGGGUCUGCCAGAAACAGCUGCCUGCAAACACAGUCCCCCUCCCAGCUGGUCUUCUAGACACACGUGUUCCCUUAGGCUGCAGGAAGUACCAAUGAUGAUGCUUCACAACCUUGCUCACGUUCAGAGUGAGGUCGCUCUGGGUAAUGUGAUGGGCCACCACCCUCUUGAUUACAGCAGCUGCCUCUCCCACGUGCCUCUUUGUCCUCACUUAGAAAGUGGGUGGUGUGCAUAGGGACAAGGGACAACACGGGUUGCUUGGGGCACACCUGCUUCAGAGCUUGUUUGCAGACCUCCUCAUCCCCACCUCCACCAGGGAUCAGGAGUGCUGUGUGCUCAGCAGAUGUUUUGCCAAUGCCGUUUUCACAGGCAAUGCUUUUUUCUUUCCUUUUAAAAUGUAAUAUAUUGAGGACCCCCAAACAGCUGUCUGAUGGGUUCCUUGUCUAUUAGAGCACAUUUCCUCUGCAAACAACAGCUUGCAUCUGGAGCUGCCCUCAGACCUGAUACCUUCCCACCACGCCCCAUACCUUGAUUCCUCCCUUGCCAAAAGUUUUCCCAGAAGAGCAACACAGGAAAUAAAGUUGAAGACGCAUUGCUGAUGGUGACCAAGUUCUGCAGCCUCUUGUAGCACUGGGGCGAACUUCAUGAAGCCCCGGCUGACCCAGUGGGGAGCCUCUGCUUUUCCCACCACAAAGUGAUCCUGGCGCCUGAGCAUCAUCCUUGUGCCACUGAACGAAAGUGAGAGAAAUUCUAGGAAACUGGAGCCACCCUCUGCAGCUCGGGUGGCCUCGCUUUAACAUCUUUGUCCUGUGCCUAUAGUUGUCCUUAAUACCCACCACACUCUGCUUGUCUCUCAAGGUUUGGCAUGAAAAUGUUUCCUCUGCAAGGGGUCAGAGGGGUUAGUAGGGUGAGACAGCACAGGAUACCCAGACAGGGAAGAAGAGGAGGACUGUAGAGAAGCUGAGAAGGUACGGAGACAGGAUGGCCAGGGGCUCCAAACCAUUCACUUCACAAUUGGACCAACUCUUUUUAUAUCAUCCAUGAAAUGGCUUCCAUUUGCCUCCUGUGCCAUGGAACCUUCUCUCCGUUCCCUUUUCAGAGUCUUCUCUCCAUCACUAACCAUCACACUUGGAGCCUGGACCUCGAUGCUCCCUACUUAGGGUCCAUCAUCCCAAGAGGCUAGGACUCAGGCCCCACCAGCCUUGGCUAUUGGCUUGAGCUUGAGGGCUUGGGCUCAAGACAAUCAACUCAGUCCAAGGUCAGCUUUCUUUCACUUGCAUGAAUGCUAUCAUUUUCUAUUUUGCAAUGGGAAUUGUGAGAAAAAUGUGAGCAAGACUGUAAUAAUGCAUGCUCA
rnacentral:lncRNA from 1 species